rnacentral:rRNA from 1 species
UACGAAGGGGGCUAGCGUUGCUCGGAAUCACUGGGCGUAAAGGGUGCGUAGGCGGGUCUUUAAGUCAGGGGUGAAAUCCUGGAGCUCAACUCCAGAACUGCCUUUGAUACUAGAUCUUGAGUUCGGGAGAGGUGAGUGGAACUGCGAGUGUAGAGGUGAAAUUCGUAGAUAUUCGCAAGAACACCAGUGGCGAAGGCGGCUCACUGGCCCGAUACUGACGCUGAGGCACGAAAGCGUGGGGAGCAAACAGG